GCUCCAAUAGCGUAUAUUAAAGUUGUUGCGGUUAAAAAGCUCGUAGUUGGAUUUCUGUUGAGGUCGACCGGUGCGCACUCCGUGUGUUAUUUGGUUCGGUCUCGGCAUCCUCGUGGGGAACGUUUCUGGACUUUAUUGGACAGGGCGAGAUUCACGACUUUUUACUUUGAGGAAUUAGAGUGUUCACGGCAGGCAAGUGC
rnacentral:rRNA from 1 species